GCCUGGGUGGCUUAGUUGGUUAAGCUUCUGACUUGGGCUCAGGUCAUGAUCUCAGGUUUGUGAGUUUGAGCCCUGCGUCAGGCG
rnacentral:tRNA from 1 species